rnacentral:rRNA from 1 species
CCUGAGAAACCCGAAAGAUCGAAUGGGGAGAUUCAUCGUCAGCGAUCCUGGUACGCGUGCCGUUCGCGAUGUCGCGCGGAGAUCUCACGGGGUCUCUCGUGGCACGCGUCCGCAUGCGCCUUUAUUGCCUGGUGUCGUCGGCGUGCACUUCUCCCCUAGUAGGACGUCGCGACCCGUUGGGUGUCGGUCUACGGCCCGGGUGUGUAGCCUGUCGCGCGUCAACGCUUCACGGCGUAGCGCGGCAGACCCCCGGUUGUCCGACCGGCUGCCCGGCGGUACUCGCACGGUAUCGAGCCGCAGAAUUGAACUGCGUCCGGCCCGCCGCAAGCGAGGUCAGUGUUUCCCGGAUGUACGGACCUAGCGCCGUCACCGGGCCUGGCCAGCUGUUGGUUGGCGGUGUCCCGGGACUGGCUCUUCGAACGUGAUACCGGUCAGCGACGCUACUGCUUUGGGUACUUUCAGGACCCGUCUUGAAACACGGACCAAGGAGUCUAACAUGCGCGCGAGUCAUUGGGAGCUCAUAAGCCCAAAGGCGCAAUGAAAGUGAAGGUCGGCCUCGCGCCGACCGAGGGAGGAUGGGCCGCGUCACGAUGCGGUCCCGCACUCCCGGGGCGUCUCGUUCUCAUUGCGAGAAGAGGCGCACCCAGAGCGUACACGUUGGGACCCGAAAGAUGG